AAAGGUAUAGGGACAGCAGCCAAGGCGAGGGCGGGGCGAAGUCUCGGGGCUGGAGAGGAGAGGUCCGCAGUAAGUGGCCGGCCAGUGGCGGGCUACUGAAGAAGAACGUAGGGCAGGGAUCCCCUCCUGGCGCAGCGGAGGUUGGAAGACUGGGCAAGAAAACAUGGUUUGGGGGCCGGACUCGGAAGCAAAGGUGUUAGGGACACAGGGAGAGACUGAGGGAGAAGAUUGUGGCUUGAGAGUAGUGGGAGGCAUAGUUUUUGGCAAUAGCCAGCCAAGGAUACAGGGAACAGGUGCGGCGCCUGCACGCUGACUUCACGUGGUGGAUGUCUGGCUGAGAGAGAAGUAGGAAAUCCUCACAACGCUUCUUCCAGCUUUGAUCUGCCUGGGGCAGCCCGUGGUGGAAGAUGACUCUGUAGCCCUGGUGUCUACCAGUAUCCGGAGUGGGAGCCCCAAGAGCCAUGUAGACAGGCACCCAGCACUGUGCCAGCUAUGUGGGAGUUGGCUGGCUCUGGGGACGAGCUGUUGGCAGUGCAGGUGGCUGGCGACAAGGAUGGAGUGUGAGGCCUCGAGACAGGAUGGCAGGCAGCACAGAAGCCUCCGCACUCAGCAGAGCUGCGGUCCUGGCUGCUCUGAGGGUAAGUAGAAAGUGUCUGGUUUCCUGCGUGUCUGAGGCACACUGGCCUCUUCCUCCAGCCUGGCUGCUGCUUUUCAGGCCCCCAACGCUUGUGGCUUUAAAUCUGAGUAAGUCACAAUCCCUGACUUCUUUCUCUGUAGUUCUGCCAAAAUGAAAAGGUGCCCCCCAAUACAGUUUCCACUCUGCAACUCUACUCAAACCCAGAGCCGACCCUGAGGAACCUGCUUGGUCCCAGACUUCCCUCCCACCCUGUGGGAACAGUAUUUUCUGCAAACCCAACCUUGUGGGCUAAGGCUUUUGACUCCUCUAGCUUCUCACAGACUGGGAGGCAGUGCCUUCCUCGGGGCUGGGGUGGGAGGUACAACAGUCGGCCAGCUCAGGAAGUUCUUCUAGGGUUCGCCUCUGUGGCUGAAGCAAGACUGGGAGUGGGAGAAAAAAGCAGAGACUGCACUGGGCUCUGGCUCCAGAGGCCCCCAGGUGCUCUGAGAGCCGGUCUCCUUUGGGACCAGGACCAGGAGGGUAAAUUGAGUCCACAGUUCCCGCCUCAGGAAUCCUUCUGUAAGACCUCUGACAUCACAGACAAAGGAAGCCCAACUGCCAAACGCAGACUUUGCCUUGGGCAACUAAAUUUAUUAGCAAGAAACUUUUUGUCAGCCCAGUACUGACCAACAAAAUACAUCGUUAAUAAAGGAUAACAAAUCUUCACUUAAUUAAUAAAACAUCCUCAAGCAGUUACAACGAAAA
rnacentral:lncRNA from 1 species